rnacentral:misc_RNA from 1 species
AAUUAUUUGAAUUUCACAUUCACUUAUUCCAAUCAUAAUGUUACAACUUAUCAAAUGUGAAUCACAAGUCUGAAAUGGUUGUUAGUAAAGAAGGAAUGGCUCUAGCAAAACGGCAUGGAUUUUUGUUUGUUGAAACUAGUGCUAAAAUUAAAGAGAAAGUAGAGAAAUGUUUCCAAGAUCUAGCACUCAAGGUACUCUACCACUCAACCAUCUAUUGAUUAAUUUAGAAUUAUUUGGCAAUCACCCACAUCAACUCGAGCUAUCUAUCAAUAACAAAAACUUUAACUGAUUGUGUUGUAGAUUCUGGAGGGAAGAGAUAAGAAACGGCUGGAGGAGGAACAAAACAACAAACCGCCAGAACAGAAAACACGCCAACCAUCAAAAGGGGAAGAAAAGGAGGAGAGGAGACCAAUAUAUGAACCAGAUAGGUGGUGGAGUUUAAACUAGCAAAACCUUCAUACCCAGGACCACCAGCAAGCAAUAACUGUUCCUGUUAACAUUCUUUCAAGCGCCAUCACAGCCACAGGGCUGUGCUUAGAUCAAAACUAGAGGAGUAUCUAUUAUCAAGAACCA